rnacentral:rRNA from 1 species
CCAAUAGCGUAUAUUAAAGUUGUUGCAGUUAAAAAGCUCGUAGUUGAAUUUCGGGGUUAGUAGGUUGGUCAUGCCUCCGGUAUGUACUGGUCUCACUGAUUCCUCCUUCCUGAUGAACCGUAAUGCCAUUAAUUUGGUGUUGCGGGGAAUUUGGACUGUUACUUUGAAAAAAUUAGAGUGUUUAAAGCAAGCUAACGCUUGAAUACAUUAGCAUGGAAUAAUGAAAUAGGACGUUCGAUCCUAUUUUGUUGGUUUCUAGGAUUGACGUAAUGAUUAAUAGGGAUAGUUGGGGGCAUUAGUAUUCAAUUGUCAGAGGUGAAAUUCUUGGAUUUAUUGAAGACUAACUACUGCGAAAGCAUUUGCCAAGGAUGUUUUCAUUAAUCAAGAACGAAAGUUAGGGGAUCGAAGACGAUCAGAUACCGUCGUAGUCUUAACCAUAAACUAUGCCGACUAGGGAUCGGAUGAUGUUAAUUUUUUAAUGACUCAUUCGGCGCCUUACG